GCGCUGCCCAAACUGUCCUCCGAAUCCCGACAUCUGCCGGUGCCGGAGUUAAUGGCAGCAGCGGACACUGUGGAACAGUGUGUUAUUCUGACCCUGAAACUCUGAGUACAGUCUCUGUUCUGCCUGCCUGUGAGUGGCCCCGGAAGACUUGGAAGUAAAAGACUUGAAAAUUGACCUGUGGGGCCAAAGGGAAUAAACUAUAAAACCAUGGGGACAUCUGGCUUUUAUUCUAUAUCGGAACAAGUAAUUGAGAGAAUGGCAAGAAGUGAAAACUGAUUUCCUUUCAAUAAGUUGAGCGAUGAAGGUGAGAGAAUGAUAAAUCAAAGGAACAUGAUUAGUGAAGGAAGGCCAGAGCUUACUUUAAGAGCUAAGGAUGAGAAUCCUUUGUGAAGAAGAG
rnacentral:lncRNA from 1 species